rnacentral:lncRNA from 1 species
GCCUUCUUUUUUAUAUAUAGCUGCUGCAGGUCUUCUGGGAGAGGGAGUCCAAACACAGGAACUUUUUCCAAACUCAGGGUCAAGCGGCUCCAAAGCGGGCUCCCCAAGGUCACCGCUCAGCCUGGGUCUCCCUACUGUAACCACUGGUCCGCUCCGCCCUUCUCCCUGCAGUUUUAACUCCUGUGUCAAAAGCAGAGCGCGGUUGGAUCUGUAGGGCGACGCCGAGAACGCGGCACUCGAACUCACUCCCCGGCUGAUGUCGUCGCUUUCUCUCCCUCACAGGGGCACUGGACGGCGAGGAGAGCGCCUCCGUCGCCUGCCCUCCGGGAAGACUAACAGGGAAUGCAACAGGCGGCCUUGAAUGCGGAGGGAGCGCUUUCGGAGCAAGGACACCCCGCCUAAGGCAGAAUAUCUCUCAAACGCCACUCCAAAAGCAAUUGCAGGAUUUAUUUAUGGAACACCGGGAAGAGAAGAGCAGGUGAUGAAGACUUUGGGGGAAGGAAAGGGGAGGGGAAGAGAAAGACAUUUAAAAAAGUGUGCUUUUUAAAAAAAAAAUAAUUAUUGAAAAUAAUUUUACUCCGCCUUUCUCCUUAAAUUGGACCCAAGGCGACUUAAGGAGAAAGCCGGGAUAAUAUAUGAGGGUUUUAUAUUAGGGAAACGAGGCAAAACCCAUAGCAGUGGGUCUCAACCUUGAGUAGAAGGGGCGCCUCUGAGAAUCUGAGAAUCCAGCGAUGCAUCUCCUCCCUCGAAUUUGGUACUCGGAGGCGAGCUAUGCCUCUCCAUGGAGGUUCUGUUGCUAUUGACACUCUUUUGUUGUUGUUCUUAUUUAUUCCUUUUAUGGUGUCACCAGCCCGACAAGCCCUGGAUCCCCUCCCUUGCCCCCGCCGUGAGAAUCUGACGCCCGCCGGACACUUCCUCCCUGGGGGGGAAAAAUGCGCAAAAUUGCGGGCAGACUUUUCUUUUGCGCAAAAAGGAAGCUCCCCUUCAAAGGCUUGCGGCCGGCUGGCGGAUCGCAGUUCCCUCUCUCUCUCCAAAGGGAAGCAACCAACCAAAGAAUUCUUCACCUUUCUGCCCGACGGGAGUGACUUCUCUAUUUCUACCAACGGCUCAAAUUUGUGAAACUUCCUGGGAGCUUCUCUUUCCCCUUACUUCUCUCGCUCUCUCUUUCUCCAACGCAAUCCUUGCUCCGAGACACGCAAUGCCAUGAUGUGCAGUUAUUUAAUGUAGCUGGCAGGCCUUGACCACUUCCCACGUGGACCUUUGAGCACAGCAUUAUGUGGACCUUGUGGGCCUUUGCUGGUCUCUGGAUGCUGGUUGGAGAGGCCAACGCGGUAGGACCAUCUGCUGGAUCGUGGGAUGUCAAGAUCUCCGCAUCUACCCACUUGGACAACAGAGGAUACUUGGUGAAGAGGUUGGAUGGAGCCUCACAAGUGGAUGUGAGUUGGACUUUUGCUACAGGAGGGAGGGGUUGUAUUUUGCUAGCCGGGUCCAUUGUGGGAAUGUGUCUCGUGUCUCUCUGUGUGUUUUUUUUUUAAUCCAAAUGAAAUGCGCCUGACACUUAAGCUUGGUUCUAGUUGCAUGUAUAACCCCAUGUCUGCUUGUCUAUUU